rnacentral:sRNA from 1 species
GGUUAUACCUUUGCUUGUGUGUAUAGCUCGUACAUGGGAGGAUCGCCUAACUAAGUAUUUAUGAUAAUACUUACGCAUCUCAUUUGUAUUGUUGAUGCAUGUAAUGAUAAAGUGUGAUCGUGGAAUCAUGGCAAGCAAGAGAGGAUGAUUUAGUAACUCGUUUGGUAUAUUUUUGUGUUUUGGUUAUUGGAACCCGGUUAGGAUUGUGUUAGGAUUGUUGGUCAUUCUUGGUUAUGUUGGUUGAAUUAUUUAUUUAUUCAU